rnacentral:rRNA from 1 species
CGUAAAGCGCGCGCAGGCGGGCCAGCAAGUCAUGUGUGAAAGCUCCCGGCUAAACUGGGAGAGGUCAGAUGAUACUGCUGGUCUUGAGGAUGUCAGAGGCGUGUGGAAUUCCGCGUGUAGUGGUGAAAUGCGUAGAUAUGCGGAGGAACACCAGUGGCGAAGGCGGCACGCUGGGACACACCUGACGCUGAGGCGCGGAAGCAUGGGUAGCGAACGGGAUUAGAAACCCCGGUAGUCCAUGCCGUAAACGAUGUACACUAGACGUUCGUGCAGCUUCGGUUGUGUGAGUGUCGAAGCCAACGCGCUAAGUGUACCGCCUGGGGAGUACGGUCGCAAGGCUAAAACUCAAAGGAAUUGACGGGGGCCCGCACAAGCAGCGGAGCGUGUGGUUUAAUUCGAGGCUACGCGAAAAACCUUACCUGGGUUUGACAUCAAUGCGAACAAAAGCGAAAGCUGGCGGUCCUUCGGGCGCAUUGACAGGUGCUGCAUGGCUGUCGUCAGCUCGUGUCGUGAGAUGUUCGGUUAAGUCCGAAAACGAGCGCAACCCCUAGGUUUAGUUACAAGUGUCUAGACCGACUGCCUGCGGCAAGCAGGAGGAAGGUGGGGAUGACGUCAAGUCAGCAUGGCCUUUAUGUCCGGGGCUACACACACGCUACGAUGGCGCGUACGAUGGGUCGCGAACCCGCGAGGGGAAGCCAAUCCUACAAAGCGCGUCGUAGUUCGGAUUGUAGGCUG